AGCGCUCUCUACAAAAGAGCCCCAGGGGUCCCUGAGGCUUGACCUCCAAACUUGAACUCUGCCUGAACUGACGUCUUCUUUUUUGAGGUUUGAAGACAUUUAAUCAAGUCUCCUCCCAGGACAUUUGAUUUUUGCACUUGUGGGCUCCAGCUGGGGGAAGACGUGCCAAACCACCAGUGGGAAGGCGGCCCGGAGGUACUUCCAGUCCGCCUGGAAGCAGCAGGUUGUCAUCCUUGGCCUUGUCCCCUUGGCCUUGUCCCCUGACAGAAGUGCUUCCUGG
rnacentral:lncRNA from 1 species